AGCCGACGAAUUGUCGAGAGGACACAAACCAUGUGGCUCGAACUACACGACAACAACGGACCAAUUUUCGUCAACAUGGACGCUGUGACGCACUUCCAGCGGGUUGAAGGUCAAC
rnacentral:sRNA from 1 species